rnacentral:rRNA from 1 species
AUUGAACGCUGGCGGAAUGCUUUACACAUGCAAGUCGAACGGCAGCACGGGGGCAACCCUGGUGGCGAGUGGCGAACGGGUGAGUAAUACAUCGGAACGUGCCCAGUCGUGGGGGAUAACGUAGCGAAAGUUACGCUAAUACCGCAUACGAUCUACGGAUGAAAGCGGGGGACCGUAAGGCCUUGCGCGAUUGGAGCGGCCGAUGUCAGAUUAGGUAGUUGGUGAGGUAAAGGCUCACCAAGCCGACGAUCUGUAGCUGGUCUGAGAGGACGACCAGCCACACUGGGACUGAGACACGGCCCAGACUCCUACGGAAGGCAGCAGUGGGGAAUUUUGGACAAUGGGCGCAAGCCUGAUCCAGCCAUUCCGCGUGCAGGACGAAGGCCUUCGGGUUGUAAACUGCUUUUGUACGGAACGAAAAGGCUCUGGUUAAUACCUGGGGCUCAUGACGGUACCGUAAGAAUAAGCACCGGCUAACUACGUGCCAGCAGCCGCAGUAA